rnacentral:misc_RNA from 1 species
GAUGAAGAACGUAGCGAAAUGCGAUAAGUAAUGUGAAUUGCAGAAUUCAGUGAAUCAUCGAAUCUUUGAACGCACAGUGCGCCCGCCAGUAUUCUGGCGGGCAUGCCUGUCCGAGCGUCAUUUCAACCAUCAAGCCCCGGGCUUGUGUUGGGGACCUGCGUCCGACGCAGGCCCUGAAAACCAGUGGCGGGCUCGCUGUCCACACCGAGCGUAGUAACUAACCUCGCUAUGGAGUGGCGCGGGCGCCUGCCGUAAAACCCCCAAUUUCACAAGGUUGACCUCGGAUCAGGUAGGAAUACCCGCUGAACUUAAGCAUAUCAAUAAGCGGAGGA